rnacentral:rRNA from 1 species
AGAGUUUGAUCCUGGCUCAGGACGAACGCUGGCGGCGUGCUUAACACAUGCAAGUCGAACGAUGAUGCCCAGCUUGCUGGGCGGAUUAGUGGCGAACGGGUGAGUAAUACGUGAGUAACCUGCCCUUGACUCUGGGAUAAGCCUGGGAAACUGGGUCUAAUACUGGAUACUACCUCUUGCCGCAUGGUGGGUGGUGGAAAGGGUUUUACUGGUUUUGGAUGGGCUCACGGCCUAUCAGCUUGUUGGUGGGGUAAUGGCUCACCAAGGCGACGACGGGUAGCCGGCCUGAGAGGGUGACCGGCCACACUGGGACUGAGACACGGCCCAGACUCCUACGGGAGGCAGCAGUGGGGAAUAUUGCACAAUGGGCGGAAGCCUGAUGCAGCGACGCCGCGUGAGGGAUGACGGCCUUCGGGUUGUAAACCUCUUUCAGUAGGGAAGAAGCGAGAGUGACGGUACCUGCAGAAGAAGCGCCAGCUAACUACGUGCCAGCAGCCGCGGUAAUACGUAGGGCGCAAGCGUUGUCCGGAAUUAUUGGGCGUAAAGAGCUCGUAGGCGGUUUGUCGCGUCUGCUGUGAAAGCCCGGGGCUCAACCCCGGGUCUGCAGUGGGUACGGGCAGACUAGAGUGCAGUAGGGGAGACUGGAAUUCCUGGUGUAGCGGUGAAAUGCGCAGAUAUCAGGAGGAACACCGAUGGCGAAGGCAGGUCUCUGGGCUGUUACUGACGCUGAGGAGCGAAAGCAUGGGGAGCGAACAGGAUUAGAUACCCUGGUAGUCCAUGCCGUAAACGUUGGGCACUAGGUGUGGGGGACAUUCCACGUUUUCCGCGCCGUAGCUAACGCAUUAAGUGCCCCGCCUGGGGAGUACGGCCGCAAGGCUAAAACUCAAAGGAAUUGACGG